rnacentral:lncRNA from 1 species
GUGAGAAUUUUAACAGCAGUUACCAGGUGUUCAGGACAAAGAAAGAAUAUAGACAGAAUGAGAAGGUGGCACAUUUGACACCAACCAGGUCCCAAGAGAAACUAAAUGCUUAUCAAACCUAAUGUGCACACAAAUCGCCUGGGAAACAGAUUGUGAUUCAAUAGGGCUGAGGGCCCAAGACUGCAUUUCCAGCCAGCUCCAAAGUAAUGCUGAUAACCACAGUGAGCACCAAAGCCAAAUGCCAAAAACCAAAAAGGAUGGCAAGAAUCAACCACAGGGGACAUCAGAGGACCACAGGUGGAGGAGAAGAGGCGAAAGUGGAAGCAACACAGCAGAGCAGCUGACACAAAUCUUCAACUCAUUGAUGAUGGCAUCUGACUGUUCCAGGUAUUAAGAAGAGAGAAAGAAUCUGAGAAAUUAUGGCGUACUCAACUGUGGACAGCUGAAAGUCUGGCAUAGCGUGCCCUCAUCAUCACAAAUGGGCUCGCAUUACAAGCUACACUUAUUUGACAACUAUCAGCAUUUGUCAACCGGCACUCAGAUUUGAAGACUCAUUUCACAGCUGGAGCAAGAGAAGACAGGAAGGAAAAAUCAGAGUAAGGUUUCAAUGAGUUUCUGCAAAUUCUCAGAAGUUUUGCUGCCACUCAGUGUCACAAUAACAAAAAGAAAUAA